rnacentral:rRNA from 1 species
ACGAACGCUGGCGGCAUGCCUAACACAUGCAAGUCGAACGAGACCCUCGGGUCUAGUGGCGCACGGGUGCGUCACGCGUGGGAACCUGCCCUUAGGUUCGGAAUAACUCCCCGAAAGGGGUGCUAAUACCGGAUAAUGUCUUCGGACCAAAGAUUUAUCGCCUUUGGAUGGGCCCGCGUUGGAUUAGCUAGUUGGUAGGGUAAAAGCCUACCAAGGCGACGAUCCAUAGCUGGUCUGAGAGGAUGAUCAGCCACACUGGGACUGAGACACGGCCCAGACUCCUACGGGAGGCAGCAGUGGGGAAUAUUGGACAAUGGGCGAAAGCCUGAUCCAGCAAUGCCGCGUGAGUGAUGAAGGCCUUAGGGUUGUAAAGCUCUUUUACCCGGGAUGAUAAUGACAGUACCGGGAGAAUAAGCUCCGGCUAACUCCGUG